GAUGAACGCUGACAGCAUGCUUAACACAUGCAAGUCAACUGUGGCGGACGGGUGAGUAACGCGUAAAGAACUUGCCUCCCAGUUAGGGACAACAUUUGGAAACGAAUGCUCAUCCCUGCUACUGUGAGAGAGGUUUGCGUCCCAUUAGCUCAUUGGAGAGGUAACGGCUCGCCAAGGCGAUGCUGGGUAGCCGGCCUGAGAGGGUGAACGGCCACAAGGGGACUGAGACACGGCCCGUACUCCUACGGGAGGCAGCAGUGGGGAAUAUUGGACAAUGGACCAAAGUCUGAUCCAGCAAUUCUGUGUGCACGAUGAAGUUUUCGGAAUGUAAAGUGCUUUCAGUUGGGAAGCGGUACCAACAGAAGAAGUGACGGCUAAAUACGUGCCAGCAGCCGCGGUAAUUC
rnacentral:rRNA from 1 species